rnacentral:rRNA from 1 species
UACAGAGGGUGCAAGCGUUAAUCGGAAUUACUGGGCGUAAAGCGUGCGUAGACGGUUGCGUAAGUCAGAUGUGAAAGCCCCGGGCUCAACCUGGGAAUUGCAUUUGAGACUGCGUAGCUAGGGUGCGGAAGAGGAAAGCGGAAUUUCCGGUGUAGCGGUGAAAUGCGUAGAUAUCGGAAGGAACACCAGUGGCGAAAGCGGCUUCCUGGUCCAGCACC